CAAAGGAGCAAUCCGCUGAAAGAUGGGCUCGCGUCCGAUUAGGUAGUUGGCGGGGUAACGGCCCACCAAGCCGACGAUCGGUAGCCGGACUGAGAGGUUGAACGGCCACAUUGGGACUGAGACACGGCCCAGACUCCUACGGGAGGCAGCAGUGAGGGAUAUUGGUCAAUGGGGGAAACCCUGAACCAGCAACGCCGCGUGAGGGAAGACGGUUUUCGGAUUGUAAACCUCUGUCCUCUGUGAAGAUGAUGACGGUAGCAGAGGAGGAAGCUCCGGCUAACUACGUGCCAGCAGCCGCGGUAAUACGUAGGGAGCAAGCGUUGUCCGGAUUUACUGGGUGUAAAGGGUGCGUAGGCGGCUUUGCAAGUCAGAAGUGAAAUCUAUGGGCUUAACCCAUAAACUGCUUUUGAAACUGCAGGGCUUGAGUGAAGUAGAGGUAGGCGGAAUUCCCGGUGUAGCGGUGAAAUGCGUAGAGAUCGGGAGGAACACCAGUGGCGAAGGCGGCCUACUGGGCUUUAACUGACGCUGAGGCACGAAAGCGUGGGUAGCAAACAGGAUUAGAUACCCUGGUAGUCCACGCUGUAAACGAUGAUUACUAGGUGUGGGUGGACUGACCCCAUCC
rnacentral:rRNA from 1 species